rnacentral:lncRNA from 1 species
UGGGAUGACAGAUGGCAAAUAUGUUCUUCAAGGAAGUGGCGUCUCGAUUAGUUGGUUCAUUCAAUGACCGAUGUAAAUUGAUAUAUGGACCUGGGGUCCCAAUUCUUGAAAAUACUUUUGAACAGAGAUCGUGAAAAGUUACAUCAUCUGUGCCUUUAUGGUGAUGUUUUCAAAUCCAGUUCCAGAUGAGUUCAUGGUUUUAAGUAAGCUCAAUUUAUCUAAAUCAGACUGAUUCAACCCUUGCCUUAUUCUGUUUUUUUUUUUUGUCUCAGGCCUCUUGAUCAUUCCAUGUGUCUUCCUUGUUGGAACUGCCUGGAAUUUCCAAUCCUUCAAUUUACUCCUAUUUCGGUCCAUCCUUAGGCAGAAAUAUACAAGUUUAUUUCAUUUUUUAAGGAAGAGCUAUGAUUGUACUUUUGAGUACAGCUCUACCGAGUAGAUUAAUGUUGUAGCGUUGAUAUUGUAUUUCUCUUCCUCCAGAGCUAGAUGAUACUCAGGGUGGCUCUAAAUGUACGACCACUGUAUGAUGUCUUUUAUGAACAAUUGCAUUCCAUGAUGGCUAA